rnacentral:rRNA from 1 species
GGAGGGGAGUGAAAUAGAACCUGAAACCCUACGCCUACAAGCAGUGGAAGCACAUUAUUAGUGUAACCACGUACUUUUUGUAGAACGGGCCAGCGAGUUAUGGUAUAGAGCAAGGUUAAUGACUUAAGGUCAGGAGCCGUAGGGAAACCAAGUCUUAAUAGGGCGAAAAGUUCUAUGCUAUAGACCCGAAACCGGGUGACCUAUCCAUGGGCAGAGUGAAGUUGAAGUAAAAUUCAAUGGAGGCUCGAACUCGUUAGCGUUUAAAAGCUAUGGGAUGACCUGUGGAUAGGGGUGAAAAGCCAAUCGAACUCGGAGAUAGCUGGUUCUCCUCGAAAUAGCUUUAGGGCUAGCCUCAAGUAAAGUGUAAUGGAGGUAGAGCACUGAAUGGUCUAGGGGCGCAUAGCGUUACCAAAACCUAUCAAACUCCGAAUGCCAUAAACAUAUACUUGGGAGUCAGACUAUGUGGGAUAAGCUUCAUAGUCGAAAGGGAAAGAGCCCAGACCACCAGCUAAGGUCCCUAAAUUCUGAUUAAGUGAUAAAGGAUGUGAGGUUUCACAGACAACCAGGAUGUUGGCUUAGAAGCAGCCAUACAUUUAAAGAGUGCGUAAUAGCUCACUGGUCGAGAGACCUUGCGCCGAAGAUUUCCGGGACUCAAAUCAGAUACCGAAGCUGUGGGAUUAGUGUAAACUAAUCGGUAGAGGAGCAUUGUGUAUGGGUAGAAGCUAUACCGAAAGGAGUGGUGGACUAUACACAAGAGAGAAUGCUGGCAUAAGUAGCGCAAGGUAUGUGAGAAUCAUACCCGUCGAAAGCCCAAGGUUUCCUGAGGAAGGCUCGUCCACUCAGGGUAAGUCGGGACCUAAGCCCAGGCUGAAAAGCGUAGGCGAUGGACAACAGGUUGAAAUUCCUGUACUAGUUACAAGCGUUUGAGAGAAGGAGUGACGCAGGAGGAUAGGCUGAGCGUGCCGUUGGUAGAGCACGUCUAAGCAUGUAGGGAGUUAAGAUAGGCAAAUCCGUCUUAACAAUCCUGAGAAGUGAUGGGGAUCGAAAAACAAGUAGAGAAGCAGCUGACUCCACACUGCCAAGAAAAGCUUCUAUCGAGCAAGUAACUACCCGUACCGCAAACCGACACAGGUAGGCGAGGAGAGAAUCCUAAGACGAGCGGAAGAACCAUUGUUAAGGAACUCGGCAAAAUAGCCCCGUAACUUAGGGAGAAGGGGUGCCGGUUGAAGUAUAG